CCUUCGAUAGCUCAGUUGGUAGAGCGGUGGACUGUAGUCGUAAUAUGUGAAUUGGUAUCCAUAGGUCGCUGGUUCAAAUCCGGCUCGAAGGA
rnacentral:tRNA from 1 species